rnacentral:rRNA from 1 species
UAGUCGUAAGACUCUGUCCUAAGGGAAGAAACAAAUGACGGUACCUUAGGAGGAAGCCCCGGCUAACUACGUGCCAGCAGCCGCGGUAAUACGUAGGGGCAAGCGUUAUCCGGAAUCACUGGGCGUAAAAGGGUGCGUAGGCGGCUUAGCAAAGCCAGGGGUGAAAAAGGCAUUGGCUCAAACCAAAUGUAAGCCUUUGGAAACUGUUAAAGCUUGAGUGCAGGAGAGGUAAGUGGAAUUCCUAGUGUAGAGGUGAAAUUCGUAGAUAUUAGGAGGAACACCAGUGGCGAAGGCGACUUACUGGACUGUAACUGACGCUGAUGCACGAAAGCGUGGGUAGCGAACAGGAUUAGAUACCCUGGUAA